CGCUCGCCCCGGCCGCGCCGCGAUUGGCUGCCCGUGCCGCUGACGCACACCGCGCUCUGCCGCACGGCCUCAUGGGAAACGUAGUCUGCGCUGGGCGAGUCGGCGGGAGACUGCGCGUCCCGCCAGGCUUUGUCGUUCUGGCUGGUCCGCGGGCAUUCCCGCGAUCCUGGGGGCACUCCCGCCUUGCUCGGGCCGCGGGACUCUCCUCCGGGAGCAGCUUUCGGCCCCCUUCGGCUGCCGGCCCUCCGGAGCGUUCCCGGAGCGAGCGUAGCGCCGCAAGUCAGGAGAAUGGAAAGGGGAAACUUGCAGCUUCUUGACCAAACUCGAGGCUUUUGUUUGUCCGUUGUUGUUUUAAAUGCUCGCAGCCGGCAAUAGUUCAUUAAAAGCGUAAGAAAUGGCAAAACUAACGAGAUUGCUUCAGUGCGUGACCUCUCACGGCGCAAGGUAAAAAAGCUGCUCCGUUAAGCACAGGUCACAGGCACAGCCAGCCUUACGAGAGCAGAAACGUACGUGGACUUUAGAAUUGCUGUUCAGAGUGCGAAACCAAAAUUGGCUGACAACAUUGAUUGCCACCCAGUUACAGUAUUCUUUGCAGUAAUUCACUUCUACGUGUUUGGGGCUGAGGUUUUUCGCACAGUUUCAUUCCCCCAAAUAGUCUAUUUCAUCACUCUUCUAUUGCUGUUACUUACUGCUUUAAGGCUGGAGUGAUGCAAUUAUCCAGAUGUGGUUUUUGCCUGGAGAAAGAAACUUCUGGGGCUUGCAGGAUGUCAGGUGUAAGUACAGGCAUAAGAAUUGUGGUAGCACAUCAGGUUUGAUCUCCACCAUGCUUUUUGUUUCCAUGUCUUCAUCUGUGCCAGAUGUAUCCAAGCAAAGAGGAAGUGUAUGCUUCAGACAAGUAACAGCCUGAUUAGAACAGCUCCUGAUAAGGAAACACAGAUUAAUGACCGUUUAUUGGAAUGCAAAUACAGUGAAAAAGAACAAAACACCAGCUGUGAACUCAAGAGGAGAAGGUUGAAAUGUGAACCUUCCAUGUAUUAGAUUCAAGAAAAUCUACACUCAAAAGCAAUGAGUACCCAAGCCAUAAAAAAAUCUUCUGCUGAUGAACAUAACUUACGCACAAAGAACGAACAUAAAGCAGUUUUGCUGCUCACAGAACGUCCAGAUUUAUACACGUAUUUUGUCAAUGAGGCCAGUACAUUUUCAUGCCUGGAAUUGGCUCAUAGCUACUAGUUUCCAACAAGAAAUGCUAUAAAUGUCUGCUAUGCCACCAGUAGCAGAGAAUAAUGUGGGAUAUGACACCAUCUAUGCCCUGUGCUGCUCAGAAGAUGUGUCCUCUGAGAAUUGAGGUCUAUAGAUGGAGCAGGUAAAAAAAUAAAACAGCUGAAAACUUGGAGAUGACAAUGCAGUUGUAUUACUCUCCACUUGAAUUUGUGCUCUUGUAGCCUUCUUUGUCCCUGGAGCAAAUUUACAGAAGUUGGAAGUGGCAGCAGGGGAAAGAAGUAACUGAGAAAUUUGCCAAAGAAUGACAUUAUGAUUGACUGAAGGAGCACGGCUGACCCAGGAGAGGAUACAGACUUUGAGGGCAGGCAUGAAUCUUCACUGCCUCUGUGCUUACGCUGUCAGAUACGUGAGGAUAACCCAGGAAUCACCUCUUUCACGAUCUCAAGAGCUGUGGAGAGAUUGAGGCACCCAAGAAACUGGAGUUGAGACUCAGAGGAGUUGCAGGAUAGAACAGUCAUUGUGACAGAAAGCAAAUACCGUAACUUCUUACCAGGGAGAGAUGUACUGCAAUCUAGCAUAAGAAUGAGUCUACCUCUUUGGUUUUGAUAAUGUAAGGCGAAACAUGGGGGGGAAAAAAAAGGAGAACAACUGAGUUCCUUGAAAUUUUAUUACCGUAUAUAAUCAAGGUAGUAAUCACAUUGUAGCUAUGAUACUCUCAAAGAUACAGGCAAGUGCUCUUUCUGGGGAAGCUAACUUAGAUGAUAAUUAUUUCAUUAAGAUGUAUACAAUUGAUGAAAAUACAGACAACGUGGAGAGCACAGAAGUUCUCCAAGUGACUUA